AGAGAUGCACUGGGUGUAAAGGGUGCGCAGGCGGUUUGUAAGACAGAGGUGAAAUCCCCGGGCUCAACCUGGGAAACUGCCUUUGUGACUGCAAGGCUGGGGUGCGGCAGAGGGGGAUGGAAUUCCGCGUGUAGCAGUGAAAUGCGUAGAUAUGCGGAGGAACACCGAUGGCGAAGGCAAUCCCCUGGGCCUGCACUGACGCUCAUGCACGAAAGCGUGGGGAGCAAACA
rnacentral:rRNA from 1 species